CGGCAUAGCUCAGCUGGUAGAGCAAAUCAUUCGUAAUGAUUAGGUCGCAGGUUCAAGUCCUGUUGCCGGC
rnacentral:tRNA from 1 species